UACACUGCCUUGGGCUAUGAUCUCAUAAGUUAAGCAGGGUUGGGCCUGUUUGUUUUUGGAUGGGGACUUAGAAGAAGAAGUUGAUUGCUACAGUCAAUUUGACUUGGUAAUUCAGAAGGUGGUGCUCUUCCCCCUAGGUAGCUCAGGCUGACAUGCCAGAAUGAUUAGGCUCACCACAACUCCUAACCUUUUGGAAAAAAUGUAAACCCAAUAUCCUCACCUUUCCAGAAUGAACAUCACGGGACUCCUGCCCUAACCCCAAAGUCCCAACCAAAUUCCAUCUCAAAGGAACCACACCCUGCAGAUGGAGAUCCACCCAUGCCCUUCCAGGAGGAUGCAGUAAACUUUGCUUUCCCUGCUGGGUUGCAUGAUACCUCCAGCUGAACUGCUGCAGAGCUCGGGAGAGAUGGCAGCAGUACUUCUGGGGCAGGCAGCAAUUGCCCUCUCAAUAAACCUAUGCAAGUGUCCUCACUGUAAAGGCACUGUUUAAAUUGAAGUGUUUUCCCGCCAGUAGGGAUUUGGGCAGAUACCUGUUGAUACUUGGUGAUACCUGAGCAAUGGCCUCCUUGUGCUGAAUGUAGCAGCUGGUGCCUCUGUUUUGCCUUUGUCUCUUCCCACUGCAGCACAGUGCCAGGCUCUCACAGCACAGGCACACUCUGCUGCCCACUGCCCUCUCAGAGGGACAAAAAAGAACUUAGCUGUUUUGCACACCUCUUAAUAUUCCAGUGUGGCUAAAUUCUAAAGUGAGGUAAGUUAUUUAGCACCAUGUAGGUGUAAAGUGCUGCAAUUUUCUGUUCUGAGUGGGUGGUAAGGUAGGGGUGCAGCAGGAAAAGCAGAGAAGAGGAUGGCAUUAGAUAACAUGCUCUGUGUGCCGAGGGCUGCUGGGAAGGGAGCUCUGGUUGCUUUGGCCAUGUCUAAAGGCAGAUUUGCUCAGUAUUUGUUUGUUUUCUAAGCUGUGAAUGUGCUUGUGUGCAUUCUUCUCUUUUGGUUUAGCUUAAACCUUUCCUAAUCCUGUUAGCAGAGAUAAGUCUCCCUGAACCACAAGUAAGUGUCUGCACGGGAGUUUGCACGAGCUGAAUUAAUUCUGCAUGAAAUCAUGCAGGGGUGCCCUUGUGUGGGUAAACACAACCUCAUGUUCCUUCCAGCAUCCUUGGCUUUCCCUGCCGUGCUUUCCCUGCCUGCUCUCCCCUCUUGGCAGGGGAGGUCACAUUGAAGCAUUUCAUGCUCAAUUUCCACAGGAAAAUAAGCAAAUCCCCUUUCACCACCAGGAAAAGGGCAGAGUGAACCCAAACUAGGCUCUCUGUGUAAGGUCUGUCAAGAAAAGACUCUCUAGAGGGCUGUGUGCCAGCAGGACCAUGUCCCUGACCUAGUGACAUGCAGAAGGAGGGGUGCUCCCAGUAUUAGCCCCACUGCUCUGUCCUGGCACGGCACAGUGGGAGAGGCAGCUGGGCUUAGCUCAAGAUUUUGCAUAUUCUUUACCAUGCAUGUCCUGUCUUGACAGUAUUUAUGCAAAUUUUAAAAUAGAGGAAAAAGCUGUCACGUAAAACAAAAAAAUUCAUCCAGAGGCCAAAUAUGUAGGUUGGUUGGCUUCUGCGUUUUCUUCAUUUUUUUUUUCCAAUUAAAAAUAAGGUAACCUAUAAAACGACAAUCUAGUUUAAUAUCCUGAUUACAUGUUCCAGAGAGUAGCUGAGUCACACCAUUUGCACUGUGCUUUGUACCCCUGCGGGGGAUGUAAAAGCUCCAUCUUUGGAAUAUUCUGAGGUCCACCCCAGUCAGAUGUGCCAGGUGAGAGUUCCAAGGUGCAGGAUUGUGGGUAGUGAAAGUGAAUUCUCACAGGAUACAGUUGCUGUCAGGACAGGACCCACGGGUCAGUAUUGAGGUAAUUGGUUUAGGUGGUCCUGUCCUUGCAAUCCAUGUCGCCUUUUUGAGUGGAAACACACCUGAAGUCAAAAAAAAUUCCCAAUGCAUUGCCUUGUUCUUAAUUUUGUUUCUGGUUGGUGGAAUGCCAUUGAGUUUCAUUCCCACCUAAUGCUAAGAUCCAUCACCUUUAAUUGUCAUCAAAAAACACUUAUAAGGAGCAACAAAAGGAGCUGCUGGAGGAUGUGUCUUCUUCAGCACUGGAAGAACUGAUGCAUGUUCUCAUGUCAUGGGCAGCCAGUUCUCAUCAGCAUGGACACUUCUUAUACAGAUUCUCGUUUGCUAAGAGCCAGAGUAAAUCAGACUUGCCUCUCAGGAUCUGCAUACCACAACAGUCCAGAGAUCACCAUUGUGGAGACUUCUCUUGAUGAAGACUCAAGGUCACAGUUAAGAUACAGCAGUCCAAUAAUUUAUUGCUGAUCAGCUCAAAGCUCCUGUUAUGAGCCAUAGUGCCAAACCUGACUUUCACAUAACUAAGAGCAUCUUCACCGAGGGUUGCCACUACCCAGCUCAUGUACAAGUGCCUUCAUCUCUGGGGCGUCACUUGUGAGCCUUUUCCACCAUUACAGGAUCAUGGAACACAAGGCUGAAGGUUUUGUGCCUGGAGCUGCACUUCCCACCAUUGCAAGUCCUGCCCAGCUUGCAUAGAACAGCUUCAGAAAUGGCCAAGGCUGCAAGGUGUUCACACACUGUGGUGACCAGCUGGACAGGAUUGAAAAGGACAGUGACAAGUUAUGCAAGAUCAGAACAGAGAUCCCACAAGGGCUCCUUAAUGCUGCUUGGAGGCUGAUCCCUGCCCUCAUCCCUCCUUUCCAGAGCCACAGGCAGUGGGCAGUGCUGGGGGCAACCUACUCUCCCUUCUGGAGCUCCAACUGGAUCACUGGCACCAGGUUUUUAAGGGUGACCAGUGUCCCACCUUGCCUUGGAGGUCAAUGGAAGUUCACUUGUUGACUUCAUGGACAGGAUUUCAACCCGUGUCUGUGAUCAGUGAUGAAAUGAAAUUCACAGCUUGGAAUAAUUUAUCCAGCAUACCCAAUCAAACACAAACAUCCUUUGUGCUUGAAAAUGAAUCAGGGCUGGAGGCAGCUAGCCUGCUGCAGAGGUUUGUGAUAGAUUAAUGAGCUGAGAACAAGCUGCCACCUCCACCCCCAUCAGUGACUUUCCAGUCUGAGGAAAGGGACGCUGAGCUGGAGGUGAAGGAUAUACUCUCGGAUAAGUGUUGCAGUGGGAGGUGAGAAAUAAGAGCUUCAAGUGGAGGAGGAGGGGUGAAAGAAAGACAAGCACUGUCCUCUGUUAAGCAGGGUACAGUUUAGACAGAGCCUGACAGUCUUCUGGCAGGAGGGUCAGGGCAGGAGCAGCCCUGUGCUUGCAGCACCUGUUAUUGAAUGCUACCCGCAGGUACCAGGGCAGCACAGACCGUGAUUCUCUGACUUCUUCCAGUCACGUGGGAAGGUCAGGGACCUGUGAGAAGAAAGGAGAUGAUGACACAGCUGACAAGGUCUGCCCUCAGUGAGAUGCAGUAAUACCAAUGCAGAAGGGAUCAUAUUCCAGAGGCUUCUUGGGCUUAAAGAUGAAAAUAAAGUCUGAAUUUGAGUGUCACAA